rnacentral:rRNA from 1 species
AUUGAACGCUGGCGGCAGGCCUAACACAUGCAAGUCGAACGAGUGGCGGACGGGUGAGUAAUGUCUGGGAAACUGCCUGAUGGUGGGGGAUAACUACUCGAAACGGUAGCUAAUACCGCCUACCAUCGGCUGUGCCCAGAUGGGAUUAGCUAGUAGGUGGGGUAAAGGCUAACCUAGGCGACGAUCACUAGCUAGUCUGAGAGGAUGACAAGCAAAACUGGAACUGAGACAGGGUCCAGAGUCCUACAGAAGACAGCGGUGGGUGAUAUAGCACUAUGGGCGCAAGCCUGAUGCAGCCAUGCCGCGUGUAUGAAGAAGGCCUUCGGGUUGUAAAGUACUUUCAGCGGGGAGACGUUACCCGCAGGAGGAGCACCGGCUAGCUCCGUGCCAGCAGCCGCGGUAAUUC